rnacentral:rRNA from 1 species
AUGGCCGCAAUGUUCAAUCCUCCUCCGGCUCCAAGGGCUCUUGGGCCGCAGCCGACGUGGAUGCCCUACGAGCCGACCAGGGAUUGCUCCCAGGGCCUGUGCAGCAUGUACUGCCCGCAGUGGUGCUACUUCAUCUUCCCACCCCCGCCGCCGGUCUUCGACAUCGCCGGCCCCAGCGGCGACGGCGACGGCGACUCCGGCCCCGCCUUCUCGCCCCUCGUCAUCGCCAUCAUCGGGGUGCUCGCCAGCGCCUUCCUCCUCGUCAGCUACUACACCAUCAUCUCCAAGUACUGCGGCACCUUCAGCUCCCUGCGGAGCAGGCUCUUUGGCCCCGGCGCCGGCCGCGGCGGUGGUGGCGGAGGCGGUGGCGACGGCCGGGGCGAUUCCAGGAGACAGGAGGAGUGGGAGGUCUCGCCGUCGGACGGGAUGGACGAGACGCUGAUCAGAAAGAUCACCGUGUGCAAGUACAAGCGCGGCGACGGGUUCGUCGACUCCACGGACUGCUCCGUCUGCCUGGGCGAGUUCCGGGACGGCGAGAGCCUGCGGCUGCUGCCCAAGUGCAGCCACGCUUUCCACCUGCCGUGCAUCGACACCUGGCUCAAGUCGCACUCCAACUGCCCGCUCUGCCGCUGCAACAUCGCCUUCGUCGCCGUCGGCAUGGUUUCGCCGGAGCCGGAGGGCGGUGCUGCGCCUGCGCCGCGGGAGGACCGGAGAGGCAGCCAAGAAUUCGCUCUGACGAUCGACGACUACUCCUCCGGGCAAGCGCGCGACGAGCCACAGAUUGUGGCGAGCAGCAACAGCGGCGGCAAUCAGGAGGCGAAGGAUCGUCCGGGGAGAUCCGAGGCGGCCAAUGGCGUAGUCGUCGAGAUCAGAGAGGACGGCACCGUCCCGCCGGUCCCUGCCAGGGUGCCUGCGCCGAUGCCAGACACGCAGCGUGAAGCCCGCAUGUCCAUUGCCGACGUGCUGCAGGCCAGCCCAGAAGACGAGCGUACGGUGGGCAGGGAGGGCGGCCUCCUGCAGGCAGGCUCCUCGAGGCGGUGCCACGGGGAGCACAGCAAGGAACCGCCGGAUGCACCGACGAAGAAGCUGCCGCCGGCUGGCAGGUCGUGCUUCAGCGGCAAGGGUGGCGGCAGAGGAAAGGAUCCAGGCCCUCCAGUGUGA